GCCCAUUCAUCCGCGGGUGGGGAUUUGUGGCAUUACUUGUGUUCUGUAUAAAGUAUUGCACUUGUCCCGGCCUGUGGAAGAAAGGAGGGU
rnacentral:pre_miRNA from 1 species